GAGUUUGAUCCUGGCUCAGAUUGAACGCUGGCGGCAGGCCUAACACAUGCAAGUCGAGCGGUAGAGAGAAGCUUGCUUCUCUUGAGAGCGGCGGACGGGUGAGUAAUGCCUAGGAAUCUGCCUGGUAGUGGGGGAUAACGCUCGGAAACGGACGCUAAUACCGCAUACGUCCUACGGGAGAAAGCAGGGGACCUUCGGGCCUUGCGCUAUCAGAUGAGCCUAGGUCGGAUUAGCUAGUUGGUGAGGUAAAUGGCUCACCAAGGCGACGAUCCGUAACUGGUCUGAGAGGAUGAUCAGUCACACUGGAACUGAGACACGGUCCAGACUCCUACGGGAGGCAGCAGUGGGGAAUAUUGGACAAUGGGCGAAAGCCUGAUCCAGCCAUGCCGCGUGUGUGAAGAAGGUCUUCGGAUUGUAAAGCACUUUAAGUUGGGAGGAAGGGCAGUAAAUUAAUAACUUUGCUGUUUUGACGUUUACCGACAGAAUAAGCACCGGCUAACUCUGUGCCAGCA
rnacentral:rRNA from 1 species